rnacentral:tRNA from 1 species
UGCGGCGUAGCGCAGUUUGGUAGCGCAGCGGCUUCAUAUGCCGCAGGUCGAAGGUUCGAAUCCUUCCACCGCCA